ACUUUACCAUGCGGGCAACCGUGAUAAGGAAACCCCGAGUGCCAGCACAGGCUGGCUGUCCACCAGUGUAAAUAACUGGUGAAGAAAGGGCCGGGCAAGACCGGUGCCAGCCGCCGCGGUAAUACCGGCGGCUCGAGUGGUGGCCGCUAUUACUGGGCUUAAAGGGUCCGUAGCUUGAUAACUGGGUCCCUUGAGAAAUCCGCCAGCUCAACUGGCGGGCGUUCAGGGGAAACUUGUUUUCUAGGGACCGGGAGAGGUGAGGGGUACUGCCGGGGUAGGAGUGAAAUCCUGUAAUCCCGGUGGGACCACCUAUGGCGAAGGCAUCUCACCAGAACGGGUCCGACAGUGAGGGACGAAAGCUGGGGGAGCAAACCGG
rnacentral:rRNA from 1 species